GAUGAACGCUGGCGGCGUGCCUAAUACAUGCAAGUCGAGCGAACAGACGAGGAGCUUGCUCCUCUGACGUUAGCGGCGGACGGGUGAGUAACACGUGGAUAACCUACCUAUAAGACUGGGAUAACUUCGGGAAACCGGAGCUAAUACCGGAUAAUAUAUUGAACCGCAUGGUUCAAUAGUGAAAGACGGUUUUGCUGUCACUUAUAGAUGGAUCCGCGCCACAUUAGCCAGUUGGUAAGGUAACGGCUUACCAAGGCAACGAUGCGUAGCCGACCUGAGAGGGUGAUCGGCCACACUGGAACUGAGACACGGUCCAGACUCCUACGGGAGGCAGCAGUAGGGAAUCUUCCGCAAUGGGCGAAAGCCUGACGGAGCAACGCCGCGUGAGUGAUGAAGGUCUUCGGAUCGUAAAACUCUGUUAUUAGGGAAGAACAAAUGUGUAAGUAACUAUGCACGUCUUGACGGUACCUAAUCAGAAAGCCACGGCUAACUACGUG
rnacentral:rRNA from 1 species